AAUACCCGAUGGCAUAGUUCUUCCGUCAUGGUGGAACUAUUAAAGAAUUUCGGUCAUCGAUGGGGAUGCGUUCCAUUAGGUUGUUGGCGGGGUAACGGCCCACCAAGCCUUCGAUGGAUAGGGGUUCUGAGAGGAAGGUCCCCCACAUUGGAACUGAGACACGGUCCAAACUCCUACGGGAGGCAGCAUG
rnacentral:rRNA from 1 species